GAAAGAAAAGGAAAGAAAGGAAAGAGAGAAAAGGAAAGGAAAGAAAAGGAAAGAAAGGAAAGAAAAGGAAAGAAAGGAAAGAAAGGAAAGGAAAGAAAAGGAAAGAAAGGAAAGAGAGAAAAGGAAAGAAAGAAAAGUGCCAGUCCUCCAUCUGGAAUUGAAGAGGAAGCUGCUGAAAAUGGUGUUCCUAAACCGAAAGUGACUGAAACUGAAUAUGAUAGUGACAGUGAUGAUGAUGAGGAUGAUGUUCAUGUCACUAUCGGAGACAUUAUAACGGGAGCACCACAAUAUGGCCCCGGUAGUGAAGAUUCUUCUAUCUCACCAUGGAGCCCUUAAACCUUGUGUAAGAGAUUACUAAGACGUUACAGGAGUUACGGAAAAGCACCAGUGAAUCUUAAUAUCAAGACAGGAGGAAGAGUUUAUGGAACUACAGGAACAAAAGUCAAAGGGGUAGAGCUCGAUGCACCUAGAAGUAUUAAUGGAGUUCCACUCUUGGAGGUAG